ensembl:lncRNA
CAAGAAUAAAGCAAAGCAAUGCGACAAAAACAACAACACAGAGCUACACGUAAACAAACAUAGUCAAUAACACAGUAGAACAUGAAAAUAGAAAGAUCUAUGUACAGUGACAUGGCCAUACUCGUAUUUGUAAUUGUAUCUGUAAAUUGACAGGAUGAUACUUGUGAUCUGGGUUAAACUGAAGUGUUUUAAUAUGCCUAAAUACAUUUUGGCAGAAUAGCUCACUUCACAUUCUCACUGCAAAAAAAAAACAUGUCUGUGGCGUGGUAAUGGUUGACCAGGGAAAUGUCUGUGGAAUGGUAAUGAUUGACCAGGGAAAUGUCUGUGGCGUGGUAAUGGUUGACCAGGGAAAUGUCUGUGGCAUGGUAGACCAGGGACAUGUCUGUGGCAUGGUAAUGGUUGACCAGGGAAAAUGUCUGUUGUCAUGGUAAUGGUUGACCAGGGAAAUGUCUGUUGUCAUGGUAAUGGUUGACCAGGAAAAUGUCUGUGGCAUGGUAAUGGUUGACCAGGGCAAUGACUGUGGCAUGGUAAUGGUUGACCAGGGAAACUGUAUGUUGUCAUGGUAAUGGUUGACCAGGGAAUGUCUGUUGUCAUGGUAAUGGUUGACAAGGGAAAUGUCUGUGGCAUGGUAAUGGUUGACCAGGGCAAUGACUGUGGCAUGGUAAUGGUUGACCAGGGAAAUGUCUGUGGCAUGGUAAUGGUUGACCAGGGAAAUGUCUGUGGCAUGGUAAUGGUUGACCAGGGAAAUGUCUGUGGUCAUGGUAAUGGUUGACCAGGGAAAUGUCUGUGGCAUGGUAAUG